GGCACUGGAACCAUUGGUCAUCCGUUUUCUUAAAGCGGCAAUAAAGAACCGGCCUCCUCUGAAGGUAUUUCUGCCGGCAUGGGACCUACCUCUGGUCUUAAAGGCCAUGACUAGGUCUCCCUUUGAACCACUUGACCAAGCUCCUUUGCUGGUACUCACUCAAAAGGUACUCCUAUUGGUGGCAGUUACUUCCGCACGACGGAUAUGUGAGCUCCAGGCAUUAUCCUGCGAAGCACCUUAUAUGAGGAUACUUCAGGACCGUUUAGUCCUCAGACCAGUCCCG